GAGUGGCCUGAUUCUGGGGUUUCCCUGCCCCCCCUGGGGUCCCUAAACUGCUGUGUGAUAUGUUUCUAACUAUCUGGACAGCUCACCCAAGAGUCAGUUGUUCCCAGUCGCUUCUUGCUGAGGAUAAGCCAAAAGAGGGCCGGGGGCCAAUCUGGUUUCUUUCAAGUGAAAUUAUGCUUCUCAAGCAGAGAAUGAUUGCCCACAGCAGUUAAACCUUGUUUAAUGGUAAUUAAAUUGCUUUUCUUCACUUUGAAAAAUCUCUUAAUUUUCUGUACAAAGGCAGGAAGCAUUUUUCUUUGAUUCUACAGGAUGUUUCUAAGUAUGGUGUAAUCAGUUCAUCUUACCUUGCCGGACUCUGAAAGAAUGAGUGUGUGGGAUCAGAUUUAGAAAUGCCUCAAAGGUUAGAAAGCCGAGUGCUGCCGAUUAACUCAAGCUCAGAUGACCAAAAAAAAAAAAAAAGCUGCUUUUCCCCUCACUUCUCCCUCUGGUUCUGCCUCAGUACUUUGCUUAGGAGUUUCUUAAAGCAGGCACAGUUGCCUGCGGGGCUGGUGUGUGUCACCUUUGCAAAGUGCAGAUGAGGUCUGGCAUGUCCCAUCUUGUUCCUGCCUGACUACAACUCUGCACACAGACAGUGUUGAUCUGGCUUGGAGCCCACAGUGGCAAUCCUUGGAGUGGAGGCAGCAGAGACCUCAGUUCUUCCUAGUGCUUGAGAAGUUAACUAACUGUCUUUCCCAUGAGGAAAAUGUUUUGAGACUGUAGAAGCAGAGAAGAGACUUCGCCGAAGCCCAUAGAAAAUAAAAAGCAAACCCUCAAGCAUGAAAAUCCCUGGCCCUGGAAUAAGUGCAGGUGAUAAGGCUUGCUAUCUGAUGCCUCAUUCCAUGUCUCUGGCUUCCCAUUGCCUAAAUUAAGAUGUCCUGAAAGAAACCUUGGGGGAAAAAAAAGCACAGUCCCCACAUUUGAAGUAGAAAUAGAAUGAAGGAGAAAAAGUGAUUUUCCUGAAGGAACAGAACCAACUCUGGUUUUCAAAAGCCUUAGUUUUACAUUUUAGUAGAAACUGUUAACAGUAGGAGGAUUUGCUUUGUGUGUGUGUGUGUCUGUCUGCCUUAUUUUGGUUCUGACCAUACCACUGCUAUCUCAGUCUUAGAGGCUGCUUUUGUGGCCCAGAGUGUUUCGUUCAGAUAUCUUUAUGUUGAGGUGAUAUUGAGCCAGCAGCCAAAGAAAUGCAUGGCCAAGAUAUGGAAUAUCUGGUCAACAGAGAAUAACAACAAAGUGGGACGCAUCAUAAGGUCAUAGGUCAGUGAAAACAGCUGCUAGCCGUUUAUAUGCAGGAGAGAAAGAAGGCCCAGGGAGUUGGAAAGACUGAAGGUAUUUUGGACUGAGCAGAGCAAAGGGAUUUGGGGACAUAUAAAUGUAUGAAACAAGAUGGUCAGGAAAACAAUUUUCUUCAAAGGUAGCAUGAAUAGAGUGAGGUAAGGAAACCCAUGGCCAUGGUACUGGCGGCCUAAUGGGAAAAGGCAGUGUAAUGACUUCUACAUGGAGACUUCAGUUCUGCCCCUCGUACUGUUGAAGAAUAUUCUGUCCAGAGAGGCGCUUCAGUUUCUACCUGGUUUUCUAAUGGCUUUAAAAAACUUUGAUGUAUUGGGGGAAUGGAAACAAAGAUAUUUACUAGAGAAGUGUUUGGCAAAAAGUGCCAAGCUUAUUCUUGAGAAAGGAUGGAACGGCAUGGCGGGUGGAGGGAGGGUUGGAACCAUACUCCAAAUUCCCCUGAGGCCCACACGUGUUCACCAGACGUCUGUGGGGAGCCCAGAUGAGAUGUGGGGCCCUUCCCCUUUCUCAUUUUCUUUUUUACUUUUAGCUCCCGGAUCAAAAUGAGUCCUUGAUUCCCUCAUCCCAUCCCAAGACCCUUUUUUAGUUGCAUUACCACCUAGUGAAGUCUACCAAGUCUUGAUUUGAGAAUCAAAACAAACGCAGAUCAAAGUCAACCUCAGGGAAUCAGAGAACACAGAAGCUGAACGAUGUAUCCAGCCUUCCCUAAAUGGCAGAUGAGGACACUGAGGCCAGGAAGCUCAGGUGACUUAUCCAGGAGCGUGCCAGUGCUUAGCCAAAGAUCUGGAACUGGGACUGAUGCUUCCUGAAAACAGAUUCCUGCCUGGAGUGCAUGACCCUGCUUGAGAAAGUGCAGAGGGACAGUGACAAGGCAGGAUAACGUAGCAGUCCCAGCGACUUGGGCUCCCAUCCUGACGCUUCCCCUAGGCCCCAGUGUUUUAUUUUCUGAUAAGGCCAGACCUGAGUCAGGUCCUGCCUCCUAACUCCUUUCUCUUCCUUCAGUGGGCAACAAAGAUGGCCACAGAAGCAGAGAGGGGUUCCUCCCAGGUACAUAUUUACCAGUACUUGUACCUUGCGCUUUUAAAAAGUCUUUAGCCAGGGAUAGUGGUGCAUACCUAUAAUCCCAGCUACUUGGGAGGCUGAGGUGGGAGGAUCACUUGAGCCCAAGAGGUCAAGGCUGCCGUGAGCCGUGAUUAUACCAUUGCGUUCCAGCCUGGGUGGCAGAAUGAGACCCUGUCCCCUCAAAAAACCUAACUCUGAUGAGGACUAUAUUACAAGUGUUAUAUACCAGAUUCUGGAUGGAGAAGGGAAAGUGAUUGUAGACAAGAGAAUAUUAUACUUGGUUGCUGUGUUCUCCAAACCCAAAUGCAUAGAUACACACAGACCCACAGACACACACACACAGACAUGAGUGGGACAUAUUUGAAAUCCUCACUGGCUUUGAAAAUCUGAGGCUAAUAGUUGGAGGAAGUGAGGGGUGACUGUGAGAGAACAAAUGUGUAACAGAUACACCCUGAGAAUCAGGGCUCAUAAAUAAGGAGUAGAGUCUAUUGCACCUAAGCCUUACUACUAGCCUAAGCCUUCAUACUAGAGCAAAACCGUGGGCAGACAGCACACAAAAGCAGCCCCUGUCACUCAGGGGCUUACUUCUUUUUUUUUUUUUUUUCUUUUUUUGAGACGGAGUCUCGCUCUGUCACCCAGGCUGGAGUGCAGUGGCGCGAUCUCGGCUCAUUGCAAGCUCCACCUCCCGGGUUCACGCCAUUCUCCUGCCUCACCCUCUCAAGUAGCUGGCACUACAGGCGCCCGUCACCAAGCCCGGCUAAUUUUUUGUAUUUUUUAGUAGAGACGGGGUUUCACCGUGUUAGCCAGGAUGGUCUCGAUCUCCUGACCUCGUGAUCUGCCCGCCUGGGCCUCCCAAAGUGCUGGGAUUACAGGCAUGAGCCACCGCGCCCGGCCGGCUUACAUCUUAAUGAGCCCACAGCUGCCUGUUGACCUGGUGUCAUCACGAGGGUGAUCACUAUUUCCAGCAAGCUCUUUGUCCCUCAAAGCCCAGGGAUCAGGGGCAGCCCGUGGAAGACGAGCCACUGGUUCCAGCGAGGCACAUGGAGAGAGGUUAAGCUGCUUCUACCCUGUUCAACUGUGAUGAGAUUCCAGCGAAAAUCAGCAUUGAGGGUCUCAGGUGUUUGCAGGGGGCUCUGGUAUGUUAGAAAAGCUAGAGGGAGGGGUCUGCCUUUGUGUCUGUUUGUGAGCGUGUCUACUCAAGUAGGAAAGGGGAGCACAGAUUUUUACAAAAUAGAUGUGGGCGGUUUCUUGUAGUCUUGCCUAACUGAAACCACGUUUGCCAGAGAUUACUUGGAAUUACCCUAAUAGGUGCUUUGUCAAAAUACUUGGUGCUGGCCAGAUGUGGUUCAUACCUGUAACUUCAGUGCUUUGGGAGGCUGAGACGGGAGGAUUGCUUGCGGCCAGGAGUGCAAAACCAGCCUAGGCAACAUAGUGAGACCCUGUCUUUACAAAAACAACAACAAAAUUACCUGGCUGUGGUGGUAUGUGCUUGUGGUCCCCACUACUCCAGAGGCUAAGGUGGGAGGAUUGCUUAAGCCCUGGUGGUUGCAGAUGCGAUGAGCUAUGAUUGCAUCACUGCAGUCCAGCCAGGGCAACAGAGCAAAAUCUUGUGUCUAAAAAAGAAAACAAUACUUGACGGUGAAAGCGGGUCCUGCUCAGGGAGCCCUUCUGGAAAGUCCUGGAGCCUGGAACUGAACUCCGUGAUUCCCCUGUACCUUCCCCCUGGGAGCCUGAGCACCCUUGAAGGUGACAGACACGGGGGAACCUGUGUCCUGUGGGAUCACUCCUCUCAGUCCUUCUCUACCACAUAGAGAAAGGGAUGGAUGGGAAAGUAAAGCCAACAAACCUCCACUUCCUUCCUCCUCCCCACUGCCAGAGUGGAGAUUCCUCUUUAUUCUGUGAAACUGGAUUCUGAAAUGCCAAACCAUUCCAUCUGUUGUGUUUUGGCACAAGUGCUCAAAAGAGCUCAGGUGUCUCCCUUUGCAAUUUCCCCAUGGCUUAAAAUUCAGUCCUGGAGAUCUGUGUCUUGUAGGAAAUGGAGGGGCUUUCCUUAUGCUUGUUUUUCUCUGUAAAGAAGCAUAAAGGUUUAAGUUUUCGUUGGGAGGGCCUAAAUUAGGAAGGAAAGAUUAUUUAAAUCAAAGCACUCUCAUUGUAGAGUCAUAAGCUUGGAUUUUGUGUGCAUGCCAUGCUAGCUCAAAAAACGAAGUUGAGAGUCAGAGCUCUUUGAAGGAUGAGGAAGGGGACCCGGGAAUGAGUGGCUCUGCUUCAGGAAGCAUGUUUUAAUGUGUGUUCCUAAAAAAGCUUCUGGAAAAGUGGUUUAGGAAGCUUCUGGGCUAGGGGAGACACCAUGAAAAACAAAACACAAAGUAUGUGAGUCAGUUAUGAUCAAUUGUGCCAUAAUCAACAUUUCAGUUGUAUAGUAGUUGCACUAUGAAAAGCACAAACAUAUUUAAAAAGACAAUUUUGAGGCCAGGCAUGGUGGCUCAUGCCUAUAAUCCUAGCACUUUGGGAGGCUGAGUCAGAAGGAUCAAUUGAGUCCAGAAGUUCAAGACCAUCCUGGGCAACUUUGUGAGACCUCAUCUCUACAAAAAAAAAAAAAAAAAAAAAAGCCAAGUAUGCUGGCACAUCCCAGCUCCUUGGGAAGCUGAGGCGGGAGGAUCACUUGAGCCCAGGAGUUCGAGGCUGCAGUGAGCUAUGAUUGAGCCACUGCACUCCAGCCUGGGCAACAGAAUGAGAUCAUCUCUUAAAAAAAAAAGGAGAAAGAUAAUUUUGAGAUUCAACAUAGCCCACUAACAGCUUCAUUGGACAUCAUACCUUUUGUCUAGACUUGACAGAAUUUGUUAAAUACUGGAAAGUUGUAUUUUUUAUCGUUUCCCCUGUUCUGUCUGUGAAUAGAGACGUUUGUUCUUUACCUAGUUUAUAGGACUGUCAUGAGGAAAGGUGACAUAAUAAUGGGUUCACAGUAUUGGAAGGGGGAGGACAAAAUGCCUGUUUACAAGAGACCCAGUUACAGAGCUAUGUGAAGUAAAUACUGAAUGUCAAUUCUAGGUAAUGAUCCUCAAUGUCACAGGUACUUCACGUAUUAAUACAUCUUUGCCAUUAUACAUAUGUCCUUCUCCAAAUGAUGGCUCUUUGCUGUAAAAGUUUGUCUUCUAAGCUGGUUGUGUGGAAUUUGGCCCCUACCUUCCACAUUGUCUUAUAGGAGUGCAUUUAGGCCAGGUGUGGUGGUUCACGACUCUAAUUACAGCACUCUGGGAGGCUGAGGCAGGUGGAUUACUUGAGGUCAGGCGUUUGAGACCCGCCUGGCCAACAUGGUGAAACCCCUUUUCUACAAAAAUACAAAAAUUAGCUGGACCUAGUGGUGGGCUUCUGUAAUCUCAGCUACUCAGGAGGCUGAGGCAGGAGAAUCGCUUGAACCUGGGAGGCAGAGGCUACAGUGAGCCGAGAUUGCACCACUGCACUCCAGCCUGGGUGGUAGAGCAAGACUCUGUCUCAGACAAAAAAAAAAAAAAAAGCAUUUAAUAUGGUGCUGAGCUGACCUCUUGUACUCUGAUUUUUUCAUUGUUUAGAUUGGAAAUAGGUCCUGAGUUCUAAUUCUGUAUUUGGGACUUGGUGACUGCUUCUAUCCCAGGCUUUGAUGGUUUAGACAGUGGAACCCUCCAUGGGGGGAUGUGGGUGAUCCUCUUGUCGGGGAAAAAAGAGGGUGAGUGACUAGGGGGUGGGCUACCGUAACCAGGACUCUGAGGAUAGGUGCAGGGUCACUGAUGACUGGGAAGAGUUGCAGGUCCUGCCACCAUCUAUUUUGCAUGGGAAGGACAUUUGCCUGAGCUAAGCCAUGGGAAAAAUCUAAAUUUAGAUACCUGAGCUCUUCACAGCAACUAAGCCAAGACACAGUAGACAGAAUGUUUUGACCUUUCAGAGUCAGUAUUUUACAUACAAGGACUCGAUUUCACAGAAAACCCUUCUCAACGCUUAUGUGUAUAUGAAAAGAAAGUUUGACCUACAGGAAUCAUUGUAAUGUAUCAGAUCCAUAUCACAGCUCAAUUAUUCCCAAGGAUUCAGGGAGGAAAAGCCAACAAAAAUGAAAAAAGGAAUAAAGGAAUUGGGUUGUUAUGGAAGAGAAAGCUAAAGGGGAUUUAUCUGAGGUCUGGAAGGCUACGACGGGUUGCAUUCAGAUGUCAUCCACAUGUCCACAGAGAACCGCACAAGGACUUCAAGGUGAAAUAGUGGCUGAUCAAGUCCUAGGAGUCUGAGCAAUCAAACAUUGGCAUGUGUUACCAAUUAAGUAGAGAGGUUGCUGCUGUUUUAGAGGCUUGAUGAUUGUCUGUCUUUAAGAGUCAAUAUUGGCUGGGCGCAGUGGCUCACGCCUGUAAUCCCAGCACUUUGGGAGGCCAAGGUGGGUGGAUCACAAGGUCAGGAAAUAGAGACCAUCCUGGCUAAUACGGUGAAACUCCGUCUCUACUAAAAAUACAAAAAAUUAGCCGGGCGAGGUGGCGGGCGACUGUAAUCCCAGCUAUUCGGGAGGCUGAAGCAGGAGAAUGGCGUGAACCCAGGAGGCGGAGCUUGCAGUGAGCCCAGAUCACGCAACUGCACUCCAGCCUGGGCGACAGAGCGAGACUCCGUCUCAAAGAAAAAAAAAAAAAAAGAGUCAAUAUUUGUGGGAGUCUCAAUUUAAGGUGCUAGGUAAAUUGGGAGUUCCAUCUGAGGUUUCUUUCAAGAUAAAAUGCCUUAUAAAAGUACCGUAAGUCCACCUGGCCAACAUGGCGAAACCUCAUCUCUGCUAAAUAUACAAAAAAAUUAGCUGGGCACAGUGGUGGCUCAUACCUGUAAUGCCAGCUACUUGGGAGGCUGAGGUGGGAGGAUUCUGUGAAUCUGGGAGGUGGAGGCUGCAGUGUGCCAGUAUCGCACCACUGCACUCCAGUCUGGGUAACAGCAAGACCCUGUCUCAAAAAAAAAAAAAAAAAAAGAGAGAGAAGUAUUGUAAGUCACUUCAGUAUUAGGGAUGGGGGCCAAAGUCCACUCACGUAUAAAAAUAUCCCUCAGAGGAAGACUUCUGUGUGUGUCUCAUGCACCACUUUAUGCUGUCUCUGAGGUUGUUCAUUCCAGUUUUCCUGCUUUUCUGUUCCAGACUUGGGCUGAUACCAGAGAGUGUGGAUUGCCUGCAGGGUUUCAUCCCCAUUUCUCUGUGUAUUUAAAUACUCACGGAAGAUUAGCAACUAUGCAUAAACUUUCCAGUUGUACUUCCUUAAUAAUGAUUACUGCUACUCUUUGUUGGUAGCUAAGGGAAGCGUCUGCAUGGAGGUGGCUUAGAAUUGACAAUGUGCAAAAUUCUGGGUCGUUUCAUAGGGGCUGGGGGAAGGCUUGGAAAUAAAGGCUUGGGUCAUUCCCUUGUGCUUAGCUCUUGCAGGAAACUCUUGCAACACCAUGCUGUUGUGUUAUCAUCUGCCUGGGUUUCGUCCCCAGGACAGAACGGCAUGAAUGAUGUCUUUAGUGUCUCACAGAAGGAACACUGGGUUCUUGAGUGCCUGCCAUCUCUGUCUCAUCUUGACUCCAAGGACAUUUUAACCUCUCAAUGCCUUGUUUUGCAGCCAAAGGUAUAUUAUCUAUUUGUCUUCCAUAUGCGUUCUGGGAGAUUAACCACUAAGCAUUUUGCUUUUCAGGUGUGAGGUGCUGUUUCCUUCUAAGACCGGUAUUGUUUCUGACUAACUUUAUCCAGUUGAGUGGGGUUGUGUCUCUAUUUCAUGUUACGAGAUGCCUCUAACAUUUUUAUUAUGAAAAUAAUUUUUGUGUCCAUUGAAAAGGUUUGGGAGGAGUAUUUAAGUUUUGUAGGGUAAUUAUAGAUACUCUAUCAGUCAUACAUUCUAUCUUUUUUAUUUUUUUUUUUUUGAGACAGAGUCUCGCUCUGUCACCCAGGCUGGAGUGCAGUGGUGCGAUCUUGUCUCACUGCAACCCCUGCCUCCCAGGUUCAAGUGAUUCCCCUGCCUUAGCCUCCCAAGUAGCUGGGACUACAGGCACGUGCCACCACACCAAGCUAUUUUUCGUAUUUUUUAGUAGAGAUGGGGUUUCGCCAUGUUGGCCAGGCUGGUAUCGAAUUCCUGUCCUCAGGUGAUCCGCCCACCUCGGCCUCCCAAAGUGCUAGGAUUACAGGUGUGAGCCACCGCUCCCAGCCCAUCACACACUCUAAAUCCAUACAACGAGUACAGCGGGACUUUUCUUUCUGUGUUUUGUGGCAAAUAAGUUGGUAGAACAUAUUAUCAAAUAAAGGCCAAAACUGUGUUCAGAGAGCUGGAAGUUCUUUCUUUUCCUGGUUUUGUUGUAUGUCUGAGACAUGCAGAGGGACAGACAAAAAGAUGCAUUUAAAAAAGAGCUGCCAGGGAACACAUACCAAAAUGGAAAUUUGGGAAGGGGAUGGACAAGAUGAGACAAAGCAGACAGACACAGAUUUUCUCAGGUCAACAAAGUUGUGUAAGCAGAUGAAAGGGGAAGUCUAUCAUAAUGUGUCAGACUAGUAAGACCAGCUUUAGAGUUUAAAAAAAAAGAAGUGGAAAAAGAAAAGAAAAAAUACACACACAAACAGAGGUGCACAGAACAUUCCAGGAAACCAUUGAACUGUGAGUGAUAACAUGUUUCCUUCUAUUCCUUCAAAGAUUUGUUUUAGAGGAUAGCUGGGAUAAGAGCUUGUGCUGAAAAAACAAUGCAAGGGAUUUGUAAAGAAACAGGGAAAUGAAUGAUCUGACAGGCCGUUUGUUACCACCAACAUUUUUCUUAAUUUAACCUGAACUUACUUGCUCUUGUGGUGGUCGGUCGGUCUUUCUUUCUCUCUCUCUCUUUCUCUCUCUCUCUCUCUCCCUUUCUCCCUUUCUCUCUUUCUCUGUCUCUCUUUCUCUCUUUCUCUCUUUCUUUCUUGUCUCACUCUGUUGCCCUGGCUAGAGCACAAUGGCACAAUCCUAGCUCACUGCAGCCUCGACUUCCUGGGCUCAGGUGAUCCUCCCACCUCAACCUCCUGAGUAGCUGGGACUACAAGUGUGUGCCACUACCCACCACACCCGGCUACAUUUUUGUUGUUGUUGUUUUGAGGAGACCAGGUUUCACCAUGUUACCCAGGCUGGUCUCGAACUCCUGGGCUCAAGCAAUCCGCCGACCUUGGCCACCCAAAGUGAUGAGUGCUAAGAUUACAGGCAUGAGCCUCUGUGCCCAGCUUGGAUAUUUCAAAGACAUUAGCCAUGGCCUUCAUGUUUAUCUGGACUUGAGGGCUUCAUACCUUCGACCAUAGAUGAUGCUUAAGUUGGUCUUUCACAUGGUUUCAGAUCCACAGACAUUUUAAUUAGGUCAAAUAACAAUCGUCUUCAUAAUGCCACCAUGUAUGUAUGUAGUCCUUUGGAGACUAUUUUGACAUCCUUUAUAACUGACAACACUGUGACUUUCAUCCUCCUCUUAGCUCACAUGCCUUAAUCCCACAACAGCAUGUACUGCCCUGUAGAGAAAUAUUCCUCCUUCCUCUUGGCUUGCUUUCUUAGCUUUGUCUCUAUCCCAAGACAGUAUCUGAACAAAGGCUCUUCAUUCUUGGUGCAACUCAGAGUUGGAAGAGUCAAGGGUGGAGGGGCAUUGGGCAGCCGGCCACAGCUGUCUUCUUCCUCUCUUAAUGUCUUUGUCUCUCCCAUCUUCAUGUGGACGUUUUCUCUCUCCUUCUUCUCUUUUUCCUCCCCUCGCUGAAAAAAAUAGGAUAACUGUUUUGAACCGGGCAUUAUGCUAGAUGAUAGAUGUACAGGGGUCAGCAAGAUGGGCAAGGUUUCCAUCUUCAUGUGUAUUAAAGUUUGGAGGGAAUAAAACAUUAAAAUAAAUAGUUACAAGGGUGGUGAGUAGUAAGAAAAGAUAAGGAAUGCUUAGCAAGGGGGACUGAAAUAGUGUAGAGGUGGGAUGAGGAGUCAGCGAAGUCUGAGUAAGUAAAUUCAGAGAGAAACAAAAGAACUACACUCUAGAUUUCCCUUUAGAGGAAAGGAAGGGGAAAGAAAUAAAAUUCCAAAGAGAAAAGGGCAGAAAGAUACUUUGUUUUAUACAGAACGCUGGAGGCCCCAGUGUAAUCAACAUCAAGUUUGUGUAUCUGCAAAGGCUGAUUUUUUUUUUUUUUUUUUGAGACGGAGUCUCACCCUGUCGCCCAGGUUGGAGUGCAGUGGCGCAAUCUUAGCUCGCUGCAACCUCUGCCUCCCGUGUUCAAGCAAUUCUCCUGCCUCAGCCUCCUGAGUAGCUAGGAUUACAGACAUGCACUACCACACCUGGCUAAUUUUUGUAUUUUUGGUAGAGACGGGGUUUCACCAUGUUGACCAGGCUGGUCUCGAGCUCCUGACCUCAGGUGAUCCGCCAGCCUCAGCCUCCCAAAGUUCUGCAAUUAUAGGCGUGAGCCACCAUGCUCGACCUAAAGACUGAUCAUUUUUUAUCAGUUGUCCAAAUACUUCAUCUUUUCUCCUUCCCUGAUACCAUUGCAUUCAGCCAUGGUGCUGAGAGGUGAAGCCAGCUGGACUUCCUGGGUCGAAUGGGGACUUGGAGAGCUUUUCUGUCUUAUAAGAGGAUUGUAAAACACACCAAUCAGCACUCUAGUUAGGAAUGUAAAACGCACCAAUCAGCGCUCUGUAGCUAGCAAGAGGAUGGUAAAAUGCACCAAUUAGUGCUCUGUAAAACACACCAAUCAGCGCUCUGUAAAAUGCACUAAUCAGCACUCUGUAAAACGCACCAAUCAGCAGGAGUCUAAAAGUAGCCAGUUGCGGAGGUUUAAAGAAAGGGCAUUCUGAUAGGACAGAAAUCGAAUUUGGGAGGGGACAAAUAAGGGAAUAAAUGCUGGCCACCCCAGCCAGUAGUGGCAACCCGCUCCGUCCCCUUCCACGAUGUGGAAGCUUUGUCCUUUGCUUUUCACAAUAAAUCCUUGCUACUGCUCACGCUUUGGGUCGGUGCCAUCUUUAAAAGCUGUAACACUCAGGACCGCGAAGGUCCGCAGCUUCAUUCUUGAAGUCAGCGAGACCACGAACCCACCAGAAGGAACCAGACACAGUGCCACCUACCCACAUCUUCCCCUAUGGCUAGAUGGCAGGAAUCCACAAACACCUGCCAAGACAGUAUUGUGAUCAUGUUACCAGCUAUAAUUGGAGGCAUCUAUUCCUAAGAGCCAGGAAUUCACAUAGCUGCUGGGAAGAUGAAGACUUACAAAGACCACUUGUGGUCUCUCAAGGAGUCUGUUGGCAGAGACUGGCAUACAUAAAACAAAUGGAAUAAAUAUUCUAUCAGGAAUAUGGGUAAGGUCUUACAGAAACCCAGAAGAGGAAAGAGUUCUCCCAAGGUAAGGGAACCUAGAAAAAGUUACAAAACUGAAAGAGCUAUCCAUCUAUCUAUAUCUGUAUCUAUAUCUAUAUAUCUAUAUCUAUACCUCUAUCUGUAGAGAUGGGAUCUUGCCACGUUGCCCAUGCUAGUCUUGAACUCCUGGCCUCAAAUGAUCUUCCUUUCUCAGCCUCCCAAAGAGCUGGGAUUACAGGCAUGAGCCACCAUGCCUGGCCCCAAGAAGGGAUAUUUGAGUUGAUCCUAAGAGAAUGAUAGACUGCUGAUAAAGCUAAAUAGACUUUUUUAGAGAGUUCCAUUAUUUUUGUAUUUUGUAGUUAAUGCUUAAUGUGAGUAAUCUUGCUUUAGAAAGAGAAAGCACCAGUCAAAACAAGCCUAUUUUCUUUUCAGCUAGGCAUAGUACUUGGUAUGGGUUGGCCUAGAAACAACUUCAUAUUCUACUCACACUGCUGCAUGGUUUGCCUAAGAGUACUCGAUAGAUGGAAUAUUGAAAUUUGGGUGUGGGUUAAAUUUUCAUAAAUCAAAUUUCAUUUCCCAUUAUCUUACACCUAAUUAAAGAGAUAAUGUGCCUUCUGAUGACCCUGUAAUUGGCAGUGGUAACUGGCCCUUUAACUCUGUUUCCCUGCCCUGCAGCUCCUGUCUCCAGCAGUUAGUUCAUCAUCUGUACACUAACAGUAAGCUACACGGGCAGGCACUAUUUUAAAAAACACACACAAAGCUGUCUGUGAAUGGCAAAGGAAUCAGAGCAAGUCAUUACUCUCUAGUUCAUUUGGCUAGAAAGGUCAGGUCGCCUAUAUUGACUUUUCAUGAAAACUAGGCAAACUAGUAGUUUUCAUGCACAAUAUGUCAGCAACCUGUUAUAUUUGAAAUUCUUUUUAAAUUAGGUGGGUGAAUGGUAUAAAACUUCACUGUAUUUUCUCCCUGCCUGUUAAUUGACUUGCUAAUCUCCUGCCAAUAUAUGUCCGUUUUAAAAAAGGAUUGUGGCCGGGUGCAGUGGUUCACACUUGUAAUCUCAACAGUUUGGGAGACCGAGGUGAGAAGAUCACUGGAGGCCAGGAGUUUGAGACCACCCUGGGCAACAGAGCAAGAUCCUUUCUCUACAAAAAAGUAAAACAUAUGAGGCGGCCUGUUGGCACACAUUUGUAGUCCUAGCUACUCGGGAGGCUGAGGUGGAAGGAUGGCUUGAGCCCUGGAGUUUGAGGCUGCUGUGAGCCAUGACCGUGCCACUGUACCCCAGCUUGGGCAACAGAGUGAUUCCCUGACUUAAAAAACAAAAAGAUUGCUUUAAACAGAGCAAAUUACACUUUGGCAGAAACAUGAAGGCUAAUACUUGAAUCCAAGCACCCACUCUCUCUGGGCUUACCACACUGAAGGCAAAAUGAGUGGGGUUGGUUUUUCUCCUCAAGAAAUGUUGUUCUGGGACAGUGAGUCAUUGGUUUUUGUUCUUGCAACCCUUCAUCAUAAAACAGGUUUGGUUAACUCAAGAAGUUCUAGGAAAUGUUCAAACACUGCCAAUAUUUAUCAAGGGGCAUUUUUAGGAGUAGCAGAGUGUCAAGAACUCAAAUUGACAUCUAGUGGCAACACUUCUAAAGAUUGGGGCCCCAUACUAUAUACAAUGCUAAAUUUCCAAUGCUGUGAUUGGAAAAGACUAUGAGAAGGCCUCUAGUCUCUUCCCACUACCAUCAUCUGCAGCAGGCCCACACCACCCAAAUCAACACAGGUAUGGAAGAGUCGCCCCCUGCCACAGGAGUGGGCAGUAAGUGUUAGAACGCAGAUUGCUGAGUUCUGGUUCUCAGUCCACCCAAGUCUAGUCUGUUUCCCUAACUGUAGAAGGAAGGUGUUAGAAAUGGAAAAUCCUUAAUAUAUUCUUUGAUUUUUUCAAAACAGAAUAAUUGAUUUUUAUCAUCUUUCUUAGUAUACCUUUCACGUUCUGCACAAUUAUUCUAGAUUCAAACUGAAGAUUGUGGUUCAUGUCAAGAGUCAGUUUGGUCACUGAACACUGUCUCAUCCAGCUGUGGGACACUCAUAUGAGCUUGGUCAUAGGUGGCUCAUCUUCCCCCACUUACUGGGUUUCCAUAAUGCCAUUCUCUUGGGCUGUUAGAUAAAAUAUUUACAACCCAUCCCUCCAUCAUCAUCAAAGCAAUUUAUAUGCACAAACUCCACUGUCACUAAAUCACAUGAAUGCAUCCAUCUUUCUUAUUUUCAUCUUUUUGAAAAUUAGCCAGCAUGGAAAAUAACGGCAAUCGAUUAAGCUAUUGCAUUGUGAAGAGUAGCUUAGAUUUCUUUCUUUCUUUUUUUCACCCUGUUGCCCAGGCUGGAGUGCAGUGGUGCGAUUUCAGCUCACUGCAACCUCUGCCUCCCAGGUUCAAGAGAUUCUCCUGCCUCAGCCGCCUAAGUAACUGAGAUUACAGGCGCCUGCCUCCACACCCAGCUAAUUUUUGUUUUAUUUUUUUAGUAGUGAUGGGGUUUCACCAUGUUACCCAGGCUGGUCUCGAACUCCUGACCUCAAGUAAUCCACCUGCCUUGGCCUCCCAAAGUGAUGGGAUCAUAGGCAUGAGCCACUGCACCCAGCCAGAUUUCUUUCUUUUGGUGAUAUUUGGGAGUAACUGUGGAAUGUGUCCCCCCACCUAUAUCAUACAGCAAUAUUUUUUUGAUCUACAAAGCACACCAUAUACUUCACUAUUUAUUCUGCUGAGGGGAAAUGGGUGAGACUGCCAGAUUUCUCUGAGAAUUACAGGGUUUUCAAGUCAUUAUGGAGAAAAUGAUUGAGGUUCAGUGUCAUUGGAAAAAGCAUAUUCUUAAUUUGUCUAUAAUUUUUCCUUUAAUUGGUAGUUUGGCUCCAUUUUCAAAGUACUUUUGAAGCUUUCUUUUCCAAUUUGGCAUCCAAGUUAUUUUUCUAAGUGCCAUUCAAUUUGGGACUUAUUUUCUAUUUUGAUUGACAUAAAAUAUGUCAUUCUGAAAGGAAAAAUAUCAACACAGUUUUUGAGUAAGAAACUCAGUAACAUUGAACUUAGUAAUCACCUCCCUUGGAGUGAAAUUUCAUGGUCAUAUAUAUUGAAAAAACCUCACAAUAUAACCAACAUGCUAUCUGAAUCUUGAUUGAGAUUCCACAUCAUAAGUGCUAAUUUCAGUUCUGACUAUAACCAAUUUGUUAGUUUAUACUUACUCUUUACUAAAGGAAUGAAGAGUAGGAAUAGGAUGGUGCGGUGGCUCACACCUGUAAUUCUAGCACUUUGGGAGGCCGAGGUGGGUAGAUCACAUGAACCCAGGAGUUCAAGACCAGCGUGGGCAACGUGGCAAAACCCCAUCUCUGCAAAAAAUUAUAAUAAUUAGCCAGGCGUGGUGGCAUGUACUUGUAGUCCCAGGUACUGGAGAGGCUGAGGUGGAAGGAUCACCUGAGCCUGGGGAGGUUGAGGCUGCAGUGUGUCGAGAUUGUGCCACUGCACUUCAGCCUGGGUGACAGAAUGAGACCCUGUCUUAAAAAAAAAAAAAAGUGAGAAUAAUGAAACUGUACACACGCAGGCCUUUUAAUAAACUUUCCCCCUGUACACAGCCCAUUCUAGCUAUAUAUAUUUCUUGGUCCCAGCCUCUUCAAAUAAAAAUUGUUUUAUUCAAAAGUAUGACCUAGCCUUAUACAAGAUAAGAUAGCCCUCAUGGCCACUUUUAUGCAUCUCCAUUUUAGGUUGGUUACAAGAGGCACAGAGAGACCAAAGCCCAUGGGAUGCUCAUAAGAGUAGGAAAUUGGGUGGGAAGGGUGGACUCGGGAGACAACCUGACAUCUCUCUACUUGAAGCCUAGCAAUAAGGUUCAAAGGUUCCUCAUGCCUUGUUUUCCCUUCUCUCUACAUGAUUAAGAUCCCAUUCCUGUAACAGAUAGCAAUGUGUUUAUGCAGUAAAAUUAGAUAAGGGAGAUUACUAGGGAAGUCACUACUCAGUUAGGGAUGUCAGUGGUGCUCACUGCAGAUCCAGGUUAGUAAUAAGAACUCUGGACUAGUAGCUAGGAGUGCUUGAAUCUAGAUUAGUUCUACUUUCUAACUCGAUGUGUGACAUUUUUUCCACUUAAUUUUUUUGGCCUUGGUUAUCUUAUUGGAAAAAAUAUUCAAGUUGCACAAAUAACUAAAUGAUGCCUGAGUUUUCAUUCAGUUCUAAAACUUCUCAACUGAGCAAUCUGUUGUUGAAAGGAGAGUACGAGUUCUAAAAGCUACUCUAGGGAGCUCUGCAUUCACCAAGCCGCUCCAUCAUUGUUGGGAAUAAAAUACUAAGGUUGACUCAUUGUCAAAGCCACAUUCUACUCAAACUGAAUGUGCAUAACUCGAAUUCUAGCCACAUUCCAGCCAAAUUGAGAUAGCUGUUCAAAUAGUCAUGGAUUUAUUUAAUAACUGACUUCGAAAUUCUUUACUUCUUUCAAGGUGGCAUUAACAAGUAUUUCGGAAUUUCAACAGAGAUCGGUUUUCACGCGCUCUUCAAUGAUCCCUGUGAAAUAAAUCAUAUUCAAGGGUUUUUUUCCCCUUAUGAGUUAUUCGUCUGAAGGAAGAAUUCUUCAUUUCUUUUUCUUUUAAAUGCAUGUUAGAAUAAAGUCUUCUUUGAAAAGUCUUAGUGAAAAGAGCAAACGUGGAAUAGCAUCCACCCCAGUUCUUUCUCUGGUCCUUGCACUCUGAGAAUGAAGUCUUAGACAGCAGAAUGUCAGGGGACUCUCAUUGCGUAAAAGUCUGUGCCCUUCUGCGCCUUGGACAGUUAUGGACAGAAGCCUUUAAGAAGAAGAAAAUUAAAACUAGUUAAUUUUUUAGUUAAUUUUAGCAACACUACAUAUAUGAGAGAGAGAAAAGAUGGCAUUUUCUGAAUGAAUGAGAUGCCUCUGCAUUUUGCCCAACUCAUUGGAGACUCAGGAUAGAGAAAAGGGAGAAAUUAUGUUUAGAGGCUGAUAAAUUUCCCUAUGGUUACUAUCAAGAGAUCAGACUCUUAUUAACAUUUGCAAAGUGUGAACAGAGAAGAGCAUUUGAACAAUAAGCAUAGAUUAAGUACUCCUCUUUCCUUCAUUCCCUUUUCUCUAGUCAUAUUCUCAGACAGUCCAGGCUAAGUAUUAAUGAUCUUCUUUGAAGUUAAACAUACCCUUGCUACUUUCAUUACAUUAUUAUUUUUAUGUUCUUCCUUUUGGAGUACUCAAGGUAAAUGACAUGGCAGAAUCUGUCCCAGUCCAGUGAGGGUGUCACAUAAGAGGCCCUUGGCUUACCUCUGUGCAUAACUGGCCCACAUCACAUCUUUAAUUAGAAGUCCAAGUUAUUGGCUGGGCACCAUGGCUCAUGCCUGUAAUCCAAGCACUUUGGGAGGCCAAGGUGGGUGGAUCACCUGAGGUCAGGAGUUCGAGACCAGCCUGGCCAACAUAGUGAAACCCUGUCUCUACUAAAAAUGCAAAUAUCAGCCGGGUGUGGUGGCGCAUGCCUGUAAUCACAGCUACUCGGGAGGCUUGAGGCUGGAGAAUCGCCUAAGCACACGAGGCGGAGGUUGCAGUGAGCUGAGAUCGUGCCACUGUGUUCUAGCCUGGGCGACAGAACAAGACUCUGUCUCAAAAAAAAAAAAAAAAGUCCAAGUUACUGUUGCAGGGAUUGGGACAUCUUGCCUUUCUCAAGUUGAGCAAUAUUCCCAAAUAUAAAAAUGUAGGAUCUUAGUCCAAUCAGAGCAGAUAUUUGGUGUAGGGCAUUUUCUAAUGUAGUACCAAUAAAUUAGAUGCAUACCUCAACCAAAAAACAGCCCAUAUCCAGUAAGUAAUAAGGCAAUGAUUUACGUUUCACAUAUUACCAGAGUAAUGACUAAUAGCACACAUGUAUAAACUGAAAAGUGACUGAUGCUUAUUUUCACAUGGGUCCAAAUUUAUUGGAUAAUUAUGGAGAAUAAUGAAUGUUUUCUGAGAGUUGGUAGUAAGAAAAUAUUGCCAUUGCUGGCCAGGCACAAUGGCACACACCUGUAAUCCCAGCAUUUUGGGAGACUUGAGGUCAGGAGUUCAUGACCAGCCACCUCACCCUCCCAAGUAACUAGAACUACUGGUGCAUGCCACCAAGUCCAGCUAAUUUUUUUUUUUUUUUUUUUUGAAGCGGAAUAUUGCUCUGUCACCCAGAUUGGCUAUGUUCUCCAUUCUAAGUCCAGUGGUUAGAAAUUGUCGAGUUCUCACAUCUGCAAAAAAUGUAAAAAAAAUGAACCUGCUACAUCUAAAUAUACUUUGUUGUUUUCCUACAAGUCCUAUUUUACAUACUUAUGGCAUUUUUACUGCAGUUUGAAAAUACAGUCAAUUCUUGUUAUUCACAGUGUUGAUGUUCUAUAAACUUGCCCUAAAUACUGCGUUAGUGAGUCCUGAAUUUAUUAGUUAAUACUGAAUUUCCUAGGGGAAAUACAGGGUUAGGUUCCUGUGAGCCUUUGGUUACCUUUUUAUCAACCAAUCAACAAAAAUCCUUAUUUUACCUGUGUUUUUGUUUGAAGACACCUUUUAAAAUAUAUAUUAUUGAUUCAUUAGCAUUGAACUAAGCUUAUCUAAUGCACUUAUUUUUUGUGUAAGGUGUGUCACAGCCUUCUUGAGCCUAGUAAUGCCAAACAGUACUUCCACACCAUACUUAAGGGCCAUUUCAUUUUAUUUCUUAAUUUUAAAAUUUAUUCUCUUUUCUUAUUUAAAGAAAAAAUUUGUAGAUGCCGGGUCUCGCCCUCUUGCCCAGGCUGGAGUGCAGUGACACAAUCACAACUCACUGGAGCCUCAAACUCCUGUGCUCGAGUGAUCUUCCCACCUCAGCCUCCCAAGUAUCUGGGACUACAGGCACACGCCACCAUGCCCAGCUAAUUUUUUAAUUUUAUUUUUUUGUAGAGGCAGGGUCUGGCUAUGUUUUUGAGGUCUUAAUUCCCCAAUGAACGUGACUAGUAUAUUCCAGGCUGGUCUUGAACUCCUGUCACAAAGCAGUUCUCUUGCCUUGGCCUCCCAAAGUGCUGGGAUUUCAGGCAUGAGCCACUGCACCCGGCUUGGACCAUUUUAAAUAGUGAAAUCACUCACACACACAUACACGCACGCAGGUGCACACACAGACACAAAAAGACACAAAAAUGCGAAACUUGUGGCACUAAAAAACUGUGGAAAGGGUGCUUCCUUACAGUAUGAAAACUGAAACAAAAAGGCAGAGUGUUGUUUAGUUAGACGCCACCUGGGAACGUGCUUGUUGGGAAACUCCAGUUGUCCACUGUCCUGCCAUGUCCAUGAUGACUGCAAACAUUUGGGAGUAUUAAUUUGAGGGUCACAAACAGAUUUUAGGUGAUGGGCGUAUUUACAAAUACAGAAUCUGCUAGUAAUGAGGAUUGACUGUAUAAUGCUUUAGUAGUCUCAAGUAUGUUUUUUUUCUCAUUAAGCCUUUGCUUAAGAUGCAGGCAAGAUUGAUGCUGUUGGUUUGGUGCAAAAGUAAUUGCGGUGCUUCCCAUUUAAAAGUAAUGGCACACAGUGCAAUUACUUUUGCUCCAACUUAAUACUUGGCUUUAUUGACUUUUAGCAUCAGUGCAGUUUGGUUAAUGAUAAAAUUUUCCAAAGCAGUGUCUCAUCUGCUGGCCUUAAAUUUUUCAAAAGCUUUUAAACCAAUCUUAAAAUGUUUUAUCCUCUUAGAAUCAUGUCCCUAGUUUUAUAGCUUGGAAAUUCUUGCUCUUUUCAAAUUGCUCUUUAACUCUGGCCUGAUUGGAAGGUGGCAGCUUUUCAAAUACAGGUCAUGGCAGCACUCAACCUGGAUUCCUCAGUUGCAGAAGACUGCUUUUGCUAGACUGCUGAAUUUACUUCCAACUUUUCAGAUGUUUCUGAGGUUGACCCUGGUGUGGUUCCAACUCAAAGUGGAGCAAGCAGGUGGAUGGCAGGUCUCUUCUUAGAGGCUUCCUAGAGGGAAGCCUCGUGAGUGGGAUGGGGGACAGGUUGCCCUGGGGGAGCCCAGGAAUGGGGAGACAGAAGGCCACCUGCUAUGCAGAUGAUAUAGUUUGGCUGUGUACCCACCCACAUCUCAUCUUGAAUUGUAGUUCCCAUAAUCCCCACACGUCGUGGGAGGGACCUGGUGGGAGGUAAUUGAAUCAUGGGGGCGGUUUUCCCCAUGCUAUUUUCAUAAUAGUGAGUGAGUUCUCAUGAAAGCUGAUGGUUUUAUAAGGGGCUUUCCCUUUCACUGGGCACUCAUUCUUCUCCUUGCUGCUGCCAUGUGAAGAAGGACGUGUUUGCUUCCCCUUCAACCAUGAUUGUAAGUUUCCUGAGGCCUCCCCAGCCCUGCAGAACUGUGAAUCAAUUAAACCUCUUUCCUUUAUAAAUUACCCAAUCUCAGGUUUGUCCUAAUCGCAGCAUGAGAAUGGCCUAAUACAGCAGGUUUUCCUGAGUCCUCUCUCUGACUCACCCUCUGACAGGCAAAAGACAGUGGCAGCACUGUCAGCAAUCAGCUGGGAACUUCUCCCCUGUGAUAGAAAGCAGUGCUUGCUGGCUUCCCUUUGUGAUGCUUUUGGACAGCAGGUCUAUGGACUUACGCCUUUUGUCCUUUGAGGACGGACGCACAGUCUGUGCAGCUCGAGGAUGCCGUCAUGGGUGAGAUGCUGUGGAGUGUGAUGACGCCACCUCUUAGGCUGUGUGUGAAAGUAGCGAGGAGAGGCAGGGUCUGCAUGAGCCACUUUGGAGCAGGCCAAAACACUGUGGAGAAGCACAUUACAGCCACAGUGGCGGUGUAAAGGGUCAGACUGACCACUGGCUUCUGGAAAGUCUUCAUUUCUGAAAGACUGUCAGGUAGAAGAUGGAUGAGAGUUACUCUGUGAGGCCGGAAACCUAGAACUCGGACCAUUGUGUGCAGACCAGGGAGAGGCAGUGUUUGGAGUGAGAUAAGCAGGAAUUUUGAAGUUUCACAGACCCGGUUUUGAAUUUACUCAUGAGCUGUGUGGCUUAGAGAAAGCUAUUUAAUCCCACUGACCUUCAUCUGUGAAGUGUCCAAAAAUAAUACAGAGCUUGCAGAGUUGUGUGGAUAAGGGAUAAUCUAUCGAAAGCAUCUGGCAAGUGGCAGACACAAUGUGGGCACUAGGCAAGUGGCAAGUCCCUUGUAUUGAGUCUUAUUUGUCUAUUCAGUGAAUAUUUGGAUACCAACUCUGCUGUUCUGGGCAUGAUGUUAGCCACUGGGGAGACAGAAGGAAUGAAAGAGAUGAGUAACCUGAUGUGUGCUGUCUAGUGGGGACUGCAAAUAAAGAGGUGGUUCACUAAAAUAGCUGUGAUAAGUUCUGUGAUGAAAGAAGAUGCUGGUGACAAGAGAACACAUAGAAGUGCCUCUUAACUCACACUUGUGGGGUCAGAAAACUUUUCCAUGAGGAAGAAAUAUCUACAUGGAUCCUUGAAAGAUGAGUUAGACAGACAAGGAAGUAGGCAAGGAUUGGGUUUCCAAGUUCACAGAGGAACACACGCAAAGGCCUUAGGGGAGAAAAUAGCAUGGGGAUCUUUAGUGGAAAUCAACAAAUUUCAUGGCACCUGAGCACAGGUGUAACAGGAUGUGUCAGACUUCAGGGCAUGGUUAGAAGGGAGUGGAGAGCGGAUGAGCAGAAUCAGGUGGCCAUAUCAGAGCCUAGAGUUUAUGUUAAGGGAAACAGGUGUUAGACGCAGAGAGACAUAACAAGAGUUGCUUUUAGAAAGGCUGCUGUCUACAGGGUGGAGAUGGAAUGGAAAUAUGGGGUUGGGGAGGCAGUGGUAAGAGAGCCAGGAGGGAAAAUUAGUAGAAGAUUUAUCUGUAGAGAUUAAGAGAGCCUGAUUUAGGGUAGAGGGAGGGACAAGCAGGAUGGAGAGAAGCAGAUUGGGUCAAGGUGUGUUCAGGAUUCCCAGUCCUGGAACCAAACGGAACUUGGUGAAUGGAGGAGGGGAAAGAAAAAGAAAGGGGAGGUGUCAAAGACAUCCGGCUAGAUGAUGGGAUCUUUCACAAAAUGAGGAAGCAGUUUGAGAGGUGGAGAUAGAUAAAGAGUUUGGUGUUGGCUGCUGUACUUGGGGUUAUAUAGGACACUCGACUGUCAUUAGGCAGUUGAACAACAUAGGUUAAGGUCUAGUAGAGAGAAAUAAGCUAGAGGGAGUGAUUUGAGACUCACAUGCAUGUGGAUUAUUUGAAACCAAAGAGUAGAUGAGAUGACCAAGAGGAGUAGGCAGAACAAGAAGUUGGGGGCAUAGGACAACCUUGUACACAGUGGUGCAGGACUGGAAUGUUGAGUUCAUUCUCAGAGAUCUCUUUGCAUUUUACCAGGUUUGAUCAGUUAUAUCCAUCAGCAACUAAGAGUAAACAGAAAGGCCAGAUAAUUGUCUACAUUUUUCCGCUGGGUAACAGCAAGAACAAAACUAUUUUAACACAGCACAUUCUAACAAGUUUAGGAAAGUGGCAAGAAGGACUUUAGAGAGACAAAGUAUUCUGAGAAAGUGAGGCAUUCACGAGAGAAGUUAUUGACACAGAUCAAGACCCAACAAGACCCUUACAAUUAAAUGAUGUUCCUUAGAGGAUUAAGAAAUUUCUUGGCCGGGCGCAGUGGCUCACACCUGUAAUCCCAGCACUUUGGGAGGCCGAGGCGGGUGCAUCGCCUGAGGUCAGGAGUUCGAGAUCAGCCCGGGCAACACGGUGAAACCCCGUCUCUACUAAAAAUACAAAAUUAGCCAGCUGUGGUGGCACAUGCCUGUAAUCCUAGCUACUUGGGAGGCUGAGGCAGGAGAAUCGCUUGAACCUGGGAGGCGGAGGAUGCGGUGAGCCGAGAUCGCACCAUUGCACUCCAGCCUGGGCAGCAAGAGUAAAUGUCUCACCAAAAAAAAAAAAAAAAAUUAUCUCUCAGGAUGUCCAAUUUGAGCCCUUCUAGACAUACAUCACUUGUACCUUUUACUUUACAAGUAAAAUAAAAUAGAGUUCUAUUCCACAGGUAAAUGCAGUUAUUUUUAAGUGUGUAACUCAGGGGUGUCCAAUAUUUUGGCUUCUUUGGGCCACACUGGAAGAAGAAGAAUUGUCUUGGUCCACACGUAAAAUACAGUGACACUAAGGAUAGCUGAUGAGCUUAAAAAAAAUAAAAAUAAAAAUAAAACUCUUUUUUUUUUUUUUUGAUAUAGAGUCUCACUCUGUUGCCCAAGCUGGAGUGCAGUGGUGUGAUCUCAGCUCCUAUAACCUCCACCCCCCAGCUUCAAGUGAUUCUCCUGCCUCAGCCUCCCAAGUAGCUGGAGAUUACAGGUGCAUGCCACCAUGCCCGGCUAGGUUUUGUAUUUUUUUUAGUAGAGACGGGAUUUCACCAUGUUGUCCAGACUGGUCUUGAACUCCUAACCUUAGGUAAUCUACCCACCUUGGCCUCCCAAAGUGCUGGGAUUAUAGGUGUCAGCCACUGCGCCUGGCCAAAAUCUCAUAACAUUUUAAGAAAACUUACAAAUUUGUGUUGGGCUACAUUCAAAGCUUUCCUGGGCCACAUGUGGCCUGUGGGCUGCAGGUUGGACAAACUUGGAACUGUUCUCUUGAAUAACAUGGAAGAUAUUGUAAUUUAAAUAUCUGAAGUUCUGUAAGUUAGCAGAAAGCAUGUAGCAAUCAAAAUUAACAUUUGGGAUGCUUGGUAUUUGUGUUCAACUGUCGGUCUUGUUAGGAUUUCCUGUACAGUAGCAGUGGGGAUAGAUUCUCUGCGUUAGAAAGAGGACUUCUUAGCAUUCACUGGUGUCUAGUUAAACCAAAUUUUUAAAAGUCUGUGCCACAGCCCCUGGAUCAAGAAAAGCCACACAAAAUGACCUAAAAUGCACAUUGGGAAACCUUACUCUCAUCUUAUUUUGAAAAACUUACUCUCAUUAUCUCUAAAUUGCAUUUCUAUUUGAGACACUUUAUUUAAACUAGUAUCUGCAGAGGAAAUUGGCACAGAGUUAAUGAUCUAGAUCUCACGGAAAGCUAAGAAUAUAAAAUGAGUGCUGUGUCCCGCACACAUUUUAAUUUCUUAACAAGGUGACUCAGGCUAGAAGGGCCUGCCGGUACCCUGAGCCAAAGUCCCCAGCUGUGCCUCAAGUUACAAGUUAAUGGCAUCAUAGCAUAAAGGGAUUUAAAAUGUUGCUAAUUUAUAGUGAGUGCUUUGGUUAUGUAAUUAGAGACUAAUAAGCAGGUUCAAGAUGAAGUAGCGCUGCAUACCUCAUGUGUGUUUGAGUUUCUGUUCAUUAGGAGGGACAUGCAAACUCUUUCCUGAGCUAUAGACAUCUUCAGCCUUCCUCCCAUGGAAACAUAAGUUGUUUCAGCAGCUGCUUGGCCUUCUCCAAGAAAUCUAUGCUGACGGUCAUUUUACACCAUAGAUGAAAGCAAUUCCUGUGUUAUGUCUGUUUUGGGCAGAAUACUGACAUUUCAAAGGUAAUUGUUCUAAAUCCCAAGAUUCAUUUUUGUUACGGUACACAUCAUUGGGUUUUGGGAAGUGGCAUCAAUGCAAGUUUUUAACAUUUUAUUUAUUCUGGAUUAAAAAGUUGGAAAAGUAUGAAAAAUAGCCCUUCAUAGUUCCAUUCCCAAGAAGCAAUCCCUGUUACCACUUUUGUUUAUAAUGUUCAGUAUUUUAUCUAUGCAUAGAUAUUUUUAGACAAAAAUAGGAUCUUUUGGAACACUCUGAUCUUUUAAAUUUGUCAACAUUUCCUGAGCUUGUUCUCAAGUCAUCAGGCAAUAUAAAUUUUUAAUUUCUUUCAUAUCCUCUAAAAACUGAAAAUUCAUCCCACUUCAACUGUCCAAUCCCUUUGCAGCUGUUCAGCAAACUCCAAAUUGAGAGGCUGUCUUCAAGCGGUAAAUGGAAUACUACCUUGUCAUAACACCUUUGGGAAUACUUGUAAUUCUUCUAUCUAUCUCACUUAUACCAGAGAUGUCAAUUUAAAUAUGAGAUGGACAACCAGAAUCUAUUAUUUAUCUCAUUCCGUUAUAGGAAGUCCCAGUUGGAUAUUCAACACAUCAUAACUGACACCAUCUCCAUCAGGAAGCAUUAACUAAACAUGUGAUUUACAAAGUAUCCCAUAAUCAACAGAAAAACUACACUGCUUAAUCCCUACCUUCAAGAAUUUACCACUGCAGGUGAAUGAAGUGUUUUUUUACCCUCUCAAAUAUACAGUCUGGCACGUCAGGAGUCAAAAUUGUUCUUAGCUCCAUCACACAUAGAUGGUGGUCGGCUAAUGUAAAUCACUGAUGCUAGCUCAAGCCAUGAGGUAUGUUCUAGAAAACAGGAUUGAACCAAAGCACAGUGGUUUUUGAGUCCACUAAUUCUAACAGCCAGAUGCCCCUUGCAGAAUGAGUUGGGUGUUACCACUAGCGUGCUCUACAGUGUUAUGCUAGAGAGAAAUUUACUUCCUUUGGCCACCCACUUCCUUGUUUUUAAAUAAGAACUGAGUUAAAGUUGCUAACUGUGAAGACUGAGUAAUUUGAAUCUGCUGUUGGUGUACUCAGAUUCCUUUUUUUUUUUUUUUUUUUUUUUUUUUGUCUUGGAGACAGAGUCUCACUCUGUUGCUCAGGCUGGAGUGUAGCGGCCCAAUCUCAGCUCACUGCAACCUCCACCUCCCAGGCUCAAGCGAUUCUCAUGCCUCAGCCUCCCGAGUAGCUGGAAUUACAGUCACGGGCCACCACGCCCAGCUAAUUUUUGUAUUUAUAGUAGAGACAGUGUUUGCCAGGCUGGUCUUCAACUCCCAACCUCAGGUGAUCCGCACAACUUGGCCUCCCAAAGUGCUGGGAUUGCAGGCAUGAGCCACCACACCCAGCUCAGAUUACUUUUUACUCAAAUUAAUGGGGAUGAUUGAGGAUGAAACAGUGCAGUGAUUCCCCAUUGUUUUGUUUUCUUCUUUGCAUUUCUAGUGUCUGUUUUUUUUUUGUUGGUGGUGGUGUUUUUUUGUUUGUUUGUUUGUUUUUUUAAAAAAAAAGAUCUGCAGAGGCUAUUAUGUCCUUUGCAUAACCCAAGUCCAGUAGCAUCCUUGACUUCAAAGUCUGUUGGCAUUGAUGGCAUCAGACUCAGUCAUAACUGUCUUUAAUACAUCAUUAUAAAAUCUACAAUAUUGCUCAAGUGAAGAUAUUAUCAUGUAACUGGGAGAUAUUACUAAUUAAUGAGUAUGUGGAAAAUUUUCCCUAGAAAAUGAAGUGUUUGUGAAAGGGACUGAAGGAUUUUUGCAGAAGAGUCUAUGAGAAAGAUAUUAUAAACCAAAGGGUUAUGAAUUCUGCAUAUGAAACAUAAAUAGCUAUUAAAUAUUUUAUUUCAAUCAAAAAGUGUAAUGAAAUUAGAGCUUCUCAUUAGGAAUCUGGGAUUUAUAUGGAAACUUAUAAAACUAAAAGGUAAUAAAUUCAAAAUAGAAACACAGAUUUACCAAUUAACUGGAGUUAAAACUUUUUACUUCUCUUUACAGUGACGGGAGAAAAAUACAUCCUAAAUAUGUUAUUAUGGUAAAAAAAUAAUAUUGCUAGUGGACAGAAAAAAUAGUCAUUAAGAGGGUACAAGUUCAUCUGAUAGUUGCAACUAACGUUCUAAGGGGGUUCUCUAAGUUUAGUGUUUGAUUUUCUUAAAAACUGAUUUGAAAAUUCAUGGUGCAUGGGACUCAGUGAAGGCUCCUCUGUUGAAGAAAUAACUCUCUGAAAUAAAAUGAACAUAUAGGCCCUUUAUCUUUUUUAAUGGGUUGGCGUGCUUAGGCCCAUGAGGAUAGGUUUGGUAGAGGUUGAUGUUCUUCCUUUAUCCUUAAUCAUUGAUGCCUCUCUAGAAAAGAAAUGCUCAUGUCUUUUAGGUGGAACCAUAGGAUAUUGGUGAUUACGUAUGUCGAAAACAGUCAGAUAUCUGCAGUUUCAUGUCAUUCAUGCUAAUGAAUUCUAAAUUGGAUGAAGACCUUGACUCACCAGAUUUGGCAAGGAAUAGGGGUCCAUAUUUUAAGGACAAAAGGCUAGAAGCCUGUUUGCAAAACUCUAACAAACAUUUUUGCUUUUCUAAGAUUUCUGAAAUAAUCUUGAGUACACACAGGUGAAUAAUGUAAGUGAAGGAAAGUGAAAGGGUGCUAUAAAGUAAAAUGAAAAGAUCCUGAAUUUCAGCACUAAUUUGAAUAUGCCUAGAUUCUAGAUUGAAAAUGACCUUUUCCCCACAGGUAAAUAAAAUGUUUCCAUAAAGGAAUAAACCUGGCCGGGCGUGGUGACUCAUGCCUGUAAUCCCAGCACUUUGGGAGGCCGAGGCGGGUGGAUUGCGAGGUCAGGAGAUCGAGACCAUCCUGGCUAACAUGGUGAAACCCCGUCUCUACUAAAAAACAAAAAAUUAGCCAAGCAUGGUCGCAGGUGCCUGUAGUCCCAGCUACUCAGGAGGCUGAAGCAGGAGAAUGCCGUGAACCUGGGAGGCGGAGCUUGCAGUGAGCAGAGAUUGUGCCACUGCACUCCAGCCUGGGCAACAGAGCGAGACUCUGUCUCAAAAAAAAAAAAAAAAAAAGAAUAAACCUAAUUAUACUUCUUCAACUUACGAUGGACAUUUCUCUACCUAAGAAUAUAAAAUUAUCAAAUACUCUAGAGAAAGUUGGGUUUAUAUUCAAAUAGCACAAUAUCAACACAUGUGAAGGUCAGUAUUCCAUAGAUGGGGAUGUUGAUAGCUAAUUUCAAAUCAGUGUGUUUUGUUUAUUAAAGCUAGACUGCUGAUAGGCAAUAUUUGCUAGAAAAUAAUGUAAUUUUUAAAACUUUGAUGUGUAUUUAAAAUAAAGUUUUUAUUUUAGAACAAUUUGAGAUUUACAGAAAAAUUGUGAAGCUAGCACAGAGCUCCCACAUACAAUGUAUGCAGUCUACCCUAGUAUUAGCAUCUUACAUCAAUAUGGUACAUUUGUUAUGAUUAAUGAACCAAUAUUAACACAGUUAUUAUCUAAAGUUCAUAUUCAUUUUUUUUGCCAUCAUUUUUACCUAUGUGUGAUGUAAGUAAUCAUUCCAUUUCAGUAUACAUGAAUUACAAGACCAGAAUUGUUAACCCAUGCCCUGUGGGAAAGAACUUUAUCAAUUAGGGUACAGUGUGUUUGGACAGUUUCUUUUGUCUUUUGUCUUACAGAAAUAGUUUGUUUCCAACAUUAAUUAGGUCAACAUCUUCUCCCCACCACCUUUCCACAUACACUUACCCUCAGUGAGACUGUUUCAUACAUUUAUGAUACAGUUAGAUUGCUUGGUAAGAUCUGUUCCUUAGGCUCUUGGCUAUGACAGUUUCUCAGACUCUCCUUGUUUUUAAUGACCUUGACAAUUCGGAGGAGUACUGGUGAGUUAUUUUGUAGAAUCUCCUUCAAUUGAGACUUGUCUGAUGAUUUUAUCAUGAGUAGACUAGGGUUAAUAUGUUUUUGGAAGGAAGAUCACAGAAAUGAAAAGCCAUUCUCAUUAUAUCAUUAUAUCAUAUCAAGAGUAACAAUAAUCGGCCGGGCUCGGUGGCUCACGCCUGUAAUCCCAGCACUUUGGGAGACCAAGACAGGCAGAUCAUGAGGUCAGAUCGAGACCAGCAUGGCUAACACGGUGAAAUCCCAUCUCUACUAAAAAUAUAGAAAAUUAGCCAGGCAUGGUGGCGGGUGCCUGUAGUCCCAGCUACUCAGGAGGCUGAGGCAGGAGAAUGGCGUGAACCCAGAAGGCGGAGCUUGCAGUGAGCGGAGAUUGCACCACUGCACUCCAGCCUGGGCGACAGAGCGAGACUCCAUCUCAACAAUAACAAAAAAAGUACCAAUAAUCUGGCCAGGCAUGGUGGCUUAUGCCUAUAAUCCCAGUACUUUGGGAGGCUAAGGCAGGAGGAGCUCUUGAAGCCAAGGGUUCAAGACCAGCCUGGGCAACAUAGAGACCUCGCCUCUACAAAAAAUUUUUUUUUCAAAAAAGAAUACUAAUAAUCAAUAUGAUUUAUUGCUAUAAAUAUUAGCUUUGAUCACGAGGCUGAGGAGUCUUUUUCAGGUUUCUCCACUGUAAGGUCACACACAACCCCACCUCUUUUCUAUAUUGUCUUCUUUGGAAAGACGUCACUACGUGUUAUCCACACUUGAGGAGUGUGCUAUGUUCCCCCUCCUUCAGGGUGGAGAAUCUGCAUAAAUUAUUUGGAAUUCUCUGCAUAAGAAAUUUGUGUUUAUUUAUCCCCCUGUGUGUAUUUAUUCAAUCAUUCGUUUAUAACAGUAUAGACUCAUGGAUAUUUAUUUUCACUUUGGGUUUGAAUCCAGUAUUACUUGAUUGUUGCUGACAUUCAUCCAGCUUUGGCCACUGGGAGCCCUUUCAGUUGACCCCUGUGUUCCUUUGAUAUACCCUCUUCCCCUCUUCUUUGUGGUUUGUGGGUUCUUUGUUUUUUGUUGUUGUUUUGUGGCUCUUCUUUAUGGCACUGAAAGAUACUCCAGGCUCAUCUUCUACAUUUCCUGCCACAAUCCUAAAAUCAGCCAUCUCUCUAAGGAGUUCUAAACCAAAAUGUGUUCUUUGCUACUGAGGUGUUGCUUCUUUUUUUUUUUUUUUUUUUUUUUCCA